AUUGAACGCUGGCGGCAGGCCUAACACGUGCAAGUCGAGCGGUAACACAGGGAGCUUGCUCCUGGGUGACGAGCGGCGGACGGGUGAGUAAUGUCUGGGAAACUGCCUGAUGGAGGGGGAUAACUACUGGAAACGGUAGCUAAUACCGCAUAACGUCGCAAGACCAACGAGGGGGACCUUCGGGCCUCUUGCCAUCAGAUGUGCCCAGAUGGGAUUAGCUAGUAGGUGGGGUAACGGCUUACCUAGGCGACGAUCCCUAGCUGGUCUGAGAGGAUGACCAGCCACACUGGAACUGAGACACGGUCCAGACUCCUACGUGAGGCAGCAGUGGGGAAUAUUGCACAAUGGGCGCAAGCCUGAUGCAGCCAUGCCGCGUGUAUGAAGAAGGCCUUCGGGUUGUAAAGUGCUUUCAGCGGGGAGGAAGGCGAUAAGGUUAAUAACCUUGUCGAUUGACGUUACCCGCAGAAGAAGCACCGGCUAACUCCGUGCCAGCCGCCGCGGUAA
rnacentral:rRNA from 1 species